GUGAGACGUCUUGGGCAGAGGGCUUCUGGCCCGUAGUGUGAAAACUCCCUCGUUCCAAGCCGUAGGCGCGGAAUUGGACCCUAGGGACUCAGCGUUGAGCAGAGCGGGAAGGGGCCCUUCUUUCGUGGAAUUUACUUUCUAAUGGGGAGCCAGAUUACCGAGAAAACGACGUUCAUUUCUCCUAGAAUCUUCUGCUAUGAGGGUAGCAAAACGCUAAAAACGUGGGAGGGCGCCGACACGGGAGUGAGAAGCUUUCUAGGCGGGGAAGACGGGUGCACAAUACUGUCAGCUCCAUGAGGAUGAAGUUGUGUUUGCUCAGCAUUCUUUUCCCAGUGCCUGAUGCAGGCCCUGGACACAGCAAGCCCCCUCUGGAUUUAAACUUCUUAGCAUCAAGAUCCUACAAUAACAUCCAUUUCCCUGGACCUUCUUUGGAUCGAGAUGAAAGUCAAAAGAAGAAAGGCUCAGAAGACUCACCCUAGAUUAGGCCCUGCAGGCUGCAUCCAUCCUCAUGACCAUUUCACGCACUCCUUGAAGUGUCUUAAUCUAUCAUAGCCCCUACCAGCAAGGUGAA